rnacentral:snoRNA from 1 species
AACAAAUUUCUUCUACCGCCGACUCAACACUCAGCUUCGAUCUCUCAGUGACGGGGUUGUUUUUCUGUCGAGCGAAGAACGAUUACGGCCCGUUGCUGGGCACCUGGUUUUGAAAGGUCAUUCUGAUCCUUUUGGAUGAAUUGGGAAUCAGCUGUGGUCACAAAC